UCCUAGCCCCGAUAGUAACGGUUACCCCGCAAUGGGCAACGGCUUUCUAUGCAGGCGUGAGGAGUAUGAGUGGAUAGCGGGAUAAAGC
rnacentral:misc_RNA from 1 species